rnacentral:misc_RNA from 1 species
CCGAGUUUACAACUCCCAAACCCCUGUGAACAUACCACUUGUUGCCUCGGCGGAUCAGCCCGCUCCCGGUAAAACGGGACGGCCCGCCAGAGGACCCCUAAACUCUGUUUCCUAUAUGUUAACUUCUGAGUAAAACCAUAAAUAAAUCA